rnacentral:rRNA from 1 species
GUGCUUGCACCUGAUGGCGAGUGGCGAACGAGUGAGUAAUGCAUCGGAACGUGCCCAAUCGUGGGGGAUAACGCAGCGAAAGCUGUGCUAAUACCGCAUACGAUCUACGGAUGAAAGCGGGGGACCUUCGGGCCUCGCGCGAUUGGAGCGGCCGAUGUUAGAUUAGGUAGUUGGUAGGGUAAAGGCCUACCAAGGCUUCGAUCAGUAGUUGGUCUGAGAGGACGACCAGCCACACUGGGACUGAGACACGGCCCAGACUCC